rnacentral:rRNA from 1 species
AGUGAACGCUGGCGGUAGGCCUAACACAUGCAAGUCGAACGGCAGCACAGUAAGAGCUUGCUCUUACGGGUGGCGAGUGGCGGACGGGUGAGGAAUACAUCGGAAUCUACUUUUUCGUGGGGGAUAACGUAGGGAAACUUACGCUAAUACCGCAUACGACCUACGGGUGAAAGCAGGGGAUCUUCUGACCUUGCGCGAUUGAAUGAGCCGAUGUCGGAUUAGCUAGUUGGCGGGGUAAAGGCCCACCAAGGCGACGAUCCGUAGCUGGUCUGAGAGGAUGAUCAGGCACACUGGAACUGAGACACGGUCCAGACUCCUACGGGAGGCAGCAGUGGGGAAUAUUGGACAAUGGGCGCAAGCCUGAUCCAGCCAUACCGCGUGGGUGAAGAAGGCCUUCGGGUUGUAAAGCCCUUUUGUUGGGAAAGAAAAGCAGCAGGUUAAUACCCCGCUGUUCUGACGGUACCCAAAGAAUAAGCACCGGCUAACUUCGUG